rnacentral:rRNA from 1 species
CGGACGGGUGAGUAACACGUGGAUAACCUACCUAUAAGACUGGGAUAACUUCGGGAAACCGGAGCUAAUACCGGAUAAUAUAUUGAACCGCAUGGUUCAAUAGUGAAAGACGGUUUUGCUGUCACUUAUAGAUGGAUCCGCGCUGCAUUAGCUAGUUGGUAAGGUAACGGCUUACCAAGGCAACGAUGCGUAGCCGACCUGAGAGGGUGAUCGGCCACACUGGAACUGAGACACGGUCCAGACUCCUACGGGAGGCAGCAGGG